rnacentral:ncRNA from 1 species
GCAUAUUGUGUAGAAACAGGUGCGGGUCAAACGAUAAUGUUUGGUUUAGGCCCGCUUAAAAGGGAAGUCCGGUGAAAAUCCGGCGCGGUCCCGCCACUGUGAAUGGGAGCGACCUGAGAAGAGCCACUGUGGAAACCGUUUCGAGUAUUCCAUGGGAAGGUUCAGGGAGCGAUGAACAUGAGCCAGGAGACCUGCCUGUUUCAUGACACACCA